rnacentral:tRNA from 1 species
GUCUCUGUGGCGCAUUUGGUUAGCGCGUUCGGCUGUUAACCGAAAGGUUUGGUGAUUCAAGCCCACCCAGGGACG